CCUACGGGGUGCACCAGUGGGGAAUUUUCCGCAAUGGGCGAAAGCCUGAUCCAGCAAUGCCGCGUGUGUGAAGAAGGUCUUCGGAUUGUAAAGCACUUUCGACGGGGAAGAUGAUGACGGUACCCGUAGAAGAAGCCCCGGCUAACUUCGUGCCAGCAGCCGCGGUAAUACGAAGGGGGCUAGCGUUGCUCGGAAUGACUGGGCGUAAAGGGCGCGUAGGCGGUUUAUGCAGUCAGAUGUGAAAUCCCCGGGCUUAACCUGGGAACUGCAUUUGAGACGCAUAGACUAGAGGUCGAGAGAGGGUUGUGGAAUUCCCAGUGUAGAGGUGAAAUUCGUAGAUAUUGGGAAGAACACCGGUGGCGAAGGCGGCAACCUGGCUCGAUACUGACGCUGAGGCGCGAAAGCGUGGGGAGCAAACAGGAUUAGAUACCCCUGUAGUC
rnacentral:rRNA from 1 species